GAGGAAUAUUGGUCAAUGGGCGGAAGCCUGAACCAGCCAAGUAGCGUGCAGGAAGACGGCCCUAUGGGUUGUAAACUGCUUUUAUACGAGAAUAAUUUGAUGCACGUGUGCGUUAUUGCAUGUAUCGUAUGAAUAAGGACCGGCUAAUUCCGUGCCAGCAGCCGCGGUAAUACGGAAGGUCCAGGCGUUAUCCGGAUUUAUUGGGUUUAAAGGGAGUGUAGGCGGUUUGUUAAGCGUGUUGUGAAAUUUAGGUGCUCAACAUUUAACUUGCAGCGCGAACUGUCAGACUUGAGUACACGCAACGUAUGCGGAAUUCAUGGUGUAGCGGUGAAAUGCUUAGAUAUCAUGAAGAACUCCGAUUGCGAAGGCAGCAUACGGGAGUGUAACUGACGCUUAAGCUCGAAGGUGCGGGUAUCGAACAGGAUUAGAUACCCUGGUAGUCCGCACAGUAAACGAUGGAUGCCCGCUGUUAGCGCCUGGCGUUAGCGGCUAAGCGAAAGCAUUAAGCAUCCCACCUGGGGAGUACGCCGGCAACGGUG
rnacentral:rRNA from 1 species